UACGUAGGUGACUAGCGUUGUCCGGAUUUACUGGGCGUAAAGCGCGUGUAGGCGGCUUUGCAAGUCGGAUGUGAAAGCCCACGGCUCAACCGUGGAAGUGCAUCCGAAACUGCAUGGCUGGAGUCUCGGAGAGGAAGGUGGAAUGCUUGGUGUAGAGGUGAAAUUCGUAGAUAUCAAGCAGAACACCUGCGGCGAAGGCGGCCUUCUGGACGAUGACUGACGCUGAGACGCGAAAGCGUGGGGAGCAAACCGG
rnacentral:rRNA from 1 species